rnacentral:tRNA from 1 species
GUCCCCAUCGUCUAGAGGCCCAGGACCGCGGCUUUUCACGUCGCUAACGGGGGUUCGACUCCCCCUGGGGACA